rnacentral:misc_RNA from 1 species
GAUGAAGAACGCAGCGAAAUGCGAUAAGUAAUGUGAAUUGCAGAAUUCAGUGAAUCAUCGAAUCUUUGAACGCACAUUGCGCCCCCUGGUAUUCCGGGGGGCAUGCCUGUUCGAGCGGCAUUUCACCACUCAAGCCUCGCUUGGUAUUGGGCAACGCGGUCCGCCGCGUGCCUCAAAUCGACCGGCUGGGUCUUCUGUCCCCUAAGCGUUGUGGAAACUUUCGCUAAAGGGUGUUCGGGAGGCUACGCCGUAAAACAACCCCAUUUCUAAGGUUGACCUCGGAUCAGGUAGGGAUACCCGCUGAACUUAAGCAUAUCAAUAAGCGGAGGA